UUUUUCUUUUUUUUUUUUUUCCUCGUUCAUUUCCAGUACUAUGGAACCCAAGAAAUGCGCAUGCAUUUUCCCUUUUUUUUUUUAAGAAAAAAUGGAAUUGAAAUGAGAAAUGGGUGAUUACGGUGAGAUUUCGGAUUAGAUUUUGGGUUUGGGUUUGAGGAGAUGUCGCAGGUGGGGUGCACGUGGAUCCACACCUGUGUUUUACGUUCCCUGUUCCCUCCGCUGCUUUGCAUUGCAGCAG
rnacentral:misc_RNA from 1 species